AACCCCCAGCUAGGCUGGGGGUUCAGUAAAGCUUUCAGCUUUGGGUCAGUUAUAAAAACCCCUUUUGAUUUGUUAAAACAGUUUGCGGUCUGGCAACUGACAAAUUGUUCAACAAGAAAUCAAAAG
rnacentral:sRNA from 1 species